GAUGAAGAACGCAGCGAAAUGCGAUAAGUAAUGUGAAUUGCAGAAUUCAGUGAAUCAUCAAAUCUUUGAACGCACAUUGCGCCCGCCAGUAUUCUGGCGGGCAUGCCUGUUCGAGCGUCAUUACAACCCUCAGGCCCCCGGGCCUGGCGUUGGGGAUCGGCGGAAGCCCCCUGCGGGCACAACGCCGUCCCCCAAAUACAGUGGCGGUCCCGCCGCAGCUUCCAUUGCGUAGUAGCUAACACCUCGCAACUGGAGAGCGGCGCGGCCACGCCGUAAAACACCCAACUUCUGAAUGUUGACCUCGAAUCAGGUAGGAAUACCCGCUGAACUUAAGCAUAUCAAUAAGCGGAGGA
rnacentral:misc_RNA from 1 species